GGGCGGGCCAGAACCUUGCACUGGCUCUCGGGUAGAGUUGGUGGAUGUAGGAGGUCCUGGUACUGAUACUCGGGGAUGGCCGAGCACUGCGGGCGGGGUGGACUCAGUUUGAAAGCCCGUGAAAGGGUGAAUUGUUUCAUUCUGUGUGCCUAAGCUUCGUUGGACCCUGGAAUUUUGCCGGACUCCUGUUUGUUUUCCGAGCGCAGCUUUGCUCUUUGGCGGUUUGCCCAGCUGCACGACCACUCCUCAACACGUGAGGGCGCUGUGCGGCUGCGUUUCCCCUUGAGUCUCUCUGGGCCUCCCGGAAAGAGCUACUCUUGCUGGCGCUUGUGUGUCAGAAGGAAGAGGUGAGCGCAAGCCUCUUGGAGCUAUUGACACUACUUGAAACAAGAUCCUAAGGAGGCUACUGCUCAGAGAAUUCCAAAUGAUACCCAUGAUCACACAUAAACAUAAGUGAGGCUGGAAAAUGCAGUUGAGCUGUAUGACCAGAAAGAAGAGGAAAGAGGUGCAAUGAUCAGCUAAUCAAUCCUCUUUCUACUGGCUGGAUCACUGCUGGUGUGUCAGGUGCUAAGCCCUGGCUCCAUCUAUUCAUCCUGAUCUGUAUUUCAUGCAUCAUGCUGGCCCUGUGCUGUCUUCUGCCAACCCUGUAGAGUUCCUUGCCUGAUAUACAUUCCCAGGACUGGUACUUGACAGGUGCUGAUCCCAAGAUUAAUCCCAUAACGUUACUGAUGCUAAUCUUCAUCUCAGAGCCUCCUUUUUUGGGACCACAACUUGUAAAUUUGGAGGUUCUACCAGGAUGGUUCAACUCAUGAGAACCUACCAGAAUGAAGAAAAAACAGCCCUGAAUCAAGUAAUACCACACUAAGAAUGACAUUGAAAACAUGGAGAGGGAGUUUGGAGCCAGAGUAUUGGAUGUCCCCAUGGUUUGGGGACAGUGAAUGUGCCCAUCCUCGCUCUUCAAGUUCCUGGAAAAGUCAUUUGAUGUCAGAAGGAUGUCAGAGGACUGGAGGAAAGGGUUGUACUUCUUCCUUUUGAAGUCCCAAGCCCCCACCUGCUUCUUACUUCAGGAUGACUUACAGACCUCAUUUUGCCUGACUGUCUUUGGAGUUUCCAUGUCUUUGUGGAUUCCCCGUAUGUACACUCUUUAAUUUGAUUUUCUCCGGUUAAUCUGUUUCAUAUCAAUUUGAUUCUUAGUCUGGCUAGAAGGACCUGGAAGGGGACAGAAAUUUUUGCUCCCCAACGGUGAUCUUGAGUGAAUUACUUUCUCUGUGCCUCUGUUUCAUUGUUUGUAAAUGGGGAUAAUAAAAGUACCUACCUCACAGGGCCAUUAGGAUUAAAUUAGUUAAUACUUAGAACAUCUCUUGGUAUAUAGUACAUCCUUUGUAGUUAUUACCAAUUACUCCCCAGUAUCUGCAGAAUUUCAGGUCUGUCCUGGCAUUCACCUCUGUUUAGGUUAGGAUUACACUGCAUUUGGCUGAUAGUCUUUCAGGUUAUAGUUUGUUAUUAUGGCUAUUUCUUGAUUUCGUUUGAAAUGCAAUUUCCUCCCAUUUUACAUAUUCUUUGGGUGAUGGUGGGGGUUGAUUUCAUAUGGGAAGAAAUAUCUCUUCACAGUUUUUCAAUAUAAGAUAAAGAGAUCAUUCUACACAUAUGUAAUGUAUCCCUGAUCAUUUCUGUCAUUAAAAUAAGAAGAUACAUAUUCUUUCUCUGUGCUUCGGUUGUAUUUGAUAUUUACUUGGAUAAAGAACACAUUUACUUGGUAAAGAACACAUCUAUCCAGAAAGAAUUCAGAGACUUUGAAGUGGUUUUUUUUUUGUUGUUGUUGUUGUUUUCACUUGUGUUUUGUUAUCUUAAAAAUCCCUAGCCAUUUAUCUGAUAGAAAUGCUAUCCCAUUUGAUGGGUGGAGGGU